rnacentral:rRNA from 1 species
UGUGACCUCAAAUCAGGUAGGACUACCCGCUGAACUUAAGCAUAUCAAUAAGCGGAGGAAAAGAAACUAACAAGGAUUCCCCUAGUAACUGCGAGUGAAGCGGGAAAAGCUCAAAUUUAAAAUCUGGCAGUCUUUUGGCUGUCCGAGUUGUAAUCUAGAGAAGUGUUAUCCGCGCUGGACCGUGUACAAGUCUCCUGGAAUGGAGCAUCAUAGAGGGUGAGAAUCCCGUCUUUGACAUGGACUGCCAGGGCUUUUGUGAUGCGCUCUCAAAGAGUCGAGUUGUUUGGGAAUGCAGCUCAAAAUGGGUGGUAAAUUCCAUCUAAAGCUAAAUAUUGGCGAGAGACCGAUAGCGAACAAGUACCGUGAGGGAAAGAUGAAAAGAACUUUGGAAAGAGAGUUAAACAGUACGUGAAAUUGCUGAAAGGGAAACGCUUGAAGUCAGUCGCGUCGUCCAGGGAUCAACCUUGCUUUUGCUUGGUGCAUUUUCUGGUUUGACGGGUCAGCAUCAAUUUUGAUCAUAUAUUGGAAAAAGGUCAAGGGAAUGUGGCAUCCUUGGAUGUGUUUAUAGCCCUUGGUCAUAUACAAUGGUUGGGAUUGAGGAACUCAGCAUGCUGCAAGGUGUCCUUCGGAUGUCGGCAAUAUGCCUUUAAUCGACCCGUCUUGAAACACGGACCAAGGAGUCUAACAUGCCUGCGAGUCUUUGGGUGGAAAACCCGAGCGCGUAAUGAAAGUGAAAAGUUGAGAUCCCUGUCGUGGGGAGCAUCGACGCCCGGACCAGACCCUUUGUGACGGUUCCGCGGUAGAGCAUGUAUGUUGGGACCCGAAAGAUGGUGAACUAUGCCUGAAUAGGGUGAAUCCAGAGGAAACUCUGGUGGAGGCUCGUAGCGAUUCUGACGUGCAAAUCGAUCGUCAAAUUUGGGUAUAGGGGCGAAAGA